ACCAGAUUAGCUCACUUGGUUAAGGCACUGCAUUGUGGAGCAGUAGUGACCAUCACAACCUGGGUUCGAUCCCCAGUUGUGCUA